rnacentral:rRNA from 2 species
AAAUUGAAGAGUUUGAUCAUGGCUCAGAUUGAACGCUGGCGGCAGGCCUAACACAUGCAAGUCGAACGGUAACAGGAAGCAGCUUGCUGCUUCGCUGACGAGUGGCGGACGGGUGAGUAAUGUCUGGGAAACUGCCUGAUGGAGGGGGAUAACUACUGGAAACGGUAGCUAAUACCGCAUAACGUCGCAAGACCAAAGAGGGGGACCUUCGGGCCUCUUGCCAUCGGAUGUGCCCAGAUGG